CUAAAGAGAUUGGGAGCUUGACUAAGUUAGAGUCUUUGGAUCUGUCCCAUAACAAGCUUUCUGGUGCAAUUCCCAUCAGCUUGGCACAAGUGUCUCUUCUGAAUCAUUUGGAUUUGUCAAACAAUCGAUUGUCAGGAAAAAUUCCCACAAGCACUCAACUACAAAGUUUCCAUGGUUCUACAUAUACCAUGAACCAUAGACUCUGCGGACCUCCUCUGACAAGUUCAUGUCAUGAAGAUGGAACUUUGGAAGAAGGUUCUUUGGCCUCAGCUCAUGAUAAAGAAGAUGAAACGUGGUUUGAGUUGUCAUGGUUUUAUAAAGGAAUUGGAGUUGGAUUCACUAUUGGAUUUUGUGGAGUAUGUGUCAAUUUAGAGACGAUAAAGCAUUAUUGGAGAAAUUCUUAUUUUGUAAUCAUGCAUAGCCUGAGAAAUGUUCUAUCAAAGGCACUGCGCUGAGAAGAAAGCUUACUGCAAUUGACAGUAGAUUCCUCUGGUGAUGAAGAUCAGACUUAGUGGCUGCAAGGAUUCUAAGAGUUCAAAGUUUAAAAACAACAGAAUUAAUGGGUCAAGCUUGAAGCAUUUGAAUAACUAUUCUUUUUUUAGUAGCUGAUGCUUUUGACUAUUGUUAAGUAAGUUUGUAAACUUUGUUUCUACAAUUACACUUACCAAACAAGAGAUUCAAACACUUGAUGUUCAACCGAGUCCUAAAUAACUCAUUACAAAUAUUGUUGAUCUUUAUACAUGCUAACUACCUCUGUUGACUCC